UACGUAGGGUGCAAGCGUUGUCCGGAAUCAUUGGGCGUAAAGCGCGUGUAGGCGGCUCGAUAAGUCUGCUGUGAAAGUCCAAGGCUCAACCUUGGGAUGCCGGUGGAUACUGUCGAGCUCGAGUCCGGAAGAGGAGUGUGGAAUUCCUGGUGUAGCGGUGAAAUGCGCAGAUAUCAGGAGGAACACCAAUGGCGAAGGCAGCACUCUGGGACGUGACUGACGCUGAGACGCGAAAGCGUGGGGAGCAAACAGG
rnacentral:rRNA from 1 species